rnacentral:lncRNA from 1 species
GGGCAUGGUGGCAGGUGCCUGUAAUCCCAGCUACUCAGGAGACUGAGGCAGGAGAAUCACUUGAACCCAGGAGGCAGAGGUUGCAGUGAGACAAGAUCGCGCCAUUGCACUCCAGCCUGGGUGACAGAGUGAGACUCCGUCUCAAAAAAUAAAAAUAAAAAAAAGAGAAAAGAAUAGAUACUUCACCCACCAUAUAGAAAUGGUAAAUAGCACAUGAAAAGAGAUUCAGCAGCAUCAGUCAUUAAGGAAACACAAAUUAAGACUACAGUGGCUAUUACUACAAGCAGCUUAGAAUAACUGCAAGAAGAGCUCCCACACCAAGUGUUGGCGAGGAUGUGUAGAGACCAGAACUCUCACACCCUGUGGUUAGGAAUGUAAAAUGGUACAACCGCUUUAGAAAACAGUCCCAGCUACUCGGGAGGCUGAGGCAGGAGAAUGGCGUGAACCCGGGAGGCGGAGCCUGCAGUGAGCCGAGAUGGCGCCACUGCACUCCAGCCCAGGCGAGAGUGCCAGACUCUGUCUCAAAAAAAAAAGAAAAAAAAGAAAGAAAAAAGAAAACUGACGGUUUCUUGACAAUUAAACACACAGCUACCACAUGACCCCAUUGUUCUGCUCCGAGGUAUUUAUCCAAGAGAAAAGUCUGUGCCCAAGUGAAGACUUUUGCAUAAAUAAGCAAAAGUCAUAGCAGCUUUAUUUGUAAUAGCUACAAAUAGAAAAAACCCAAAUGUCCAUCAAUGGGUGAGAUGGAUAAAGGAACUGCAGUAUAACCACACAAUGGAAGGAGGCAUAUGCUGACUAUCUUGUUGUUGAUGCUGAACAUCUUGAGCACAUGUUCAAGACUUGCACAUGUGUCAACACAUGUGAGUUGCACACUUUAAACAUGUAUAGUUUAUUAUAUGGCAAUUAUACCUCAAUUACGUUGUUUAAAAGAUGCUUUCGAUGCUUUCGAGAUUAUUAGUAAUUGGGGUAUAAUUGCCAUAUAAUAA